rnacentral:rRNA from 1 species
UAUGUGAUCGUCUCUCGCAUAUCAAUAAGCGGAGGAAAAGAAACUAACAAGGAUUCCCCUAGUAACGGCGAGUGAAGCGGGAAGAGCUCAAAUUUGAAAUCUUAAAGGGUUUCCCUUUACGAAUUGUAGUUUAAAGAAGUGUUUUCCGUUGAGGUUUUGGUAAAAGUUCUUUGGAAUAGGACAUCAUAGAGGGUGAGAAUCCCGUAUUUGACCUUUACUUUCAACUUUGUGAUACACUUUCAAAGAGUCGGAUUGUUUGGGAAUGCAGUCCAAAAUGGGUGGUAAAUUUCAUCUAAAGCUAAAUAUUGGCGAGAGACCGAUAGCGAACAAGUACCGUGAGGGAAAGAUGAAAAGAACUUUGAAAAGAGAGUUAAACAGUACGUGAAAUUGUCAAAAGGGAAGCGUUUGACACCAGUGUUGUUUUUCUGAAGAUCAAUUAAAGAACUGUUUAUGCUAAGUUGUUUAGACUUUAUCAGCUAAUCUGUUUAGUUUUGAGCUUUUCUUUAAUGCACUUUUCAGUUAACAAGUCAACAUCAAUUUCUCUUGCUGUAAAAAAGCUUGAGGAAGGUGGCUUGAGAUUCGUCUUAAGUGUUUAUAGCCUCUUGCCUAUGCAGUCGGAGAGAUUGAGGUCUGCAGCGUAGAUCCUUCGGGGCUAAAUGCAUUUGUGCUAAGUUAUAGCAUUUUCAUAGACAACUUGUUGACUAUGAUUUGUCUUGUAGCUUACUCGCUUAUGUUAUUUUACCUACGCUUAGGAUGUUGAUAUGCAUGACUGAUAU